GACGAACGCUGGCGGCGUGCCUAAUACAUGCAAGUAGAACGCUGAAGAGAGGAGCUUGCUCUUCUUGGAUGAGUUGCGAACGGGUGAGUAACGCGUAGGUAACCUGCCUUGUAGCGGGGGAUAACUAUUGGAAACGAUAGCUAAUACCGCAUAACAAUGGAUGACACAUGUCAUUUAUUUGAAAGGGGCAAUUGCUCCACUACAAGAUGGACCUGCGUUGUAUUAGCUAGUAGGUGAGGUAAUGGCUCACCUAGGCGACGAUACAUAGCCGACCUGAGAGGGUGAUCGGCCACACUGGGACUGAGACACGGCCCAGACUCCUACGGGAGGCAGCAGUAGGGAAUCUUCGGCAAUGGGGGCAACCCUGACCGAGCAACGCCGCGUGAGUGAAGAAGGUUUUCGGAUCGUAAAGCUCUGUUGUAGGUCAAGAACGGGUGUGAGAGUGGAAAGUUCACACUGUGACGGUAGCUUAACAGAAAGGGACGGCUAACUACGUG
rnacentral:rRNA from 1 species